rnacentral:rRNA from 1 species
GACGAACGCUGGCGGCGUGCUUAACACGUGCAAGUCGAACGAUGAAGAAGAGAAACGCGAACUUCGGUUCAAAUUUCACUUCGGAUUAGUGGCAGACGGGUGAGUAACGCGUGAGCAACCUACCUCUUACAAAGGGAUAGCCUCGGGAAACCGUGAUUAAUACCAUAUGACACAUUCAUAAGGCAUCUUAAGAAUGUUAAAGCUACGGCGGUAAGAGAUGGGCUCGCGUCCCAUUAGCUAGUUGGUGAGGUAACGGCCCACCAAGGCGACGAUGGGUAACCGGCCUGAGAGGGUGAACGGUCACAUUGGAACUGAGACACGGUCCAAACUCCUACGGGAGGCAGCAGUGGGGAAUAUUGCACAAUGGAGGGAACUCUGAUGCAGCGACGCCGCGUGGGCGAUGAAGGAAUUCGUUUCGUAAGCUCUGUUCUAUGGGAAGAAAAGGACUGUACCAUAGGAGAAAGCCCCGGCUAAAUACGUG